AUUGAUGGGGAUGUCUCGAGAUCCUGGUAGGAUGACAGCAAGACAGUGUGGGGGAAUGGCGUCUUCCGUCGUUACGUACAUCGGUCCUUAGAGAAGAAACGGGUGGCGCCAGGCAAGACAUGCCAGACACGAUGAAUAUUCAACAUCCGUUCUUGGACAGAGAUGUGCAAGUGUUAGAAAUGGCAGAAGUGAAUUUCUUUAUUGUGUGUAAACCUAUUCGAUCCAAACAUUUAACAAAUCAAUUGACUAAAAGGUCGGCCCAAAU